AAAGUCGUAACAAGGUUUCCGUAGGUGAACCUGCGGAAGGAUCAUUAUUGAACUAAGUCGGAUUCGAUGCUGGCCCUUAACCCGGGCAUGUGCUCGUCCUUCAUUUUUCUAACCUUCUUUAUGUGCACAUUUGUAUGCCCCUGAGUAACGAGCGCCUCUCGCAGCAAUGCGGUUUGCUUGGGACUGACGGCCUGGUCGUCUUUCCUGCAAUGCUCUCUGGGGGCUACGUUUUUAUAUACAAGUCAGUUAUAGAAUGUCUUUUAAUGACUGUUGCCUAGCGCAUGGUCUUAAACAAUUACAACUUUCAGCAACGGAUCUCUUGGCUCUC
rnacentral:misc_RNA from 1 species